rnacentral:tRNA from 1 species
GGGCCGUUAGCUUAGUUGGUAGAGCAGAGGACUCUUAAUCCUAAGGUCCGGGGUUCGAGUCCCCGACGGCCCACCA